UGUAUAUAUGUUUAUAUACACACACACACACAAACACACACACAUAUAUAUGAUAACACAGUCCUGAUCCCUAUUUACUAUAUGGUGCACUACAAUUAUCUUCCACCAUUAAAAACUCCCACAAUUCAAGUAGUGUCCAUGGCAAAAAUUACAGUCACAAAAUAUUGAUGACUGAUAGAUGUCCAAAAUCUCAAUUUCCUGAUGAUUAUAGAGGGGACUACUGGGUGUCUGUGGAGAAUAGUGAACAAGGGAGUGAUUUCAAACUCUGCCAUAUUCUUUGGAUGCUUUUCAUAGAAUGUUCUGGAAUGUUUAUAUCUCCUCCAUGUUUCAGGGGACAACAGUUGCUAAGUACAAAACAAUGGUUGCUAUGUGUUGAUUUGCAAACAAAAGUGUUACACCAGUGGAAUAUAGUGUAUGAAAAAAGUGGGGGUCAAAAAUUAGCUGCGCAAAGCCUCUUGCUGCUGCUAACUAACUCUAGUGGCUUGCUUGAUCACAAUAAAUUACUGAGCAUCAGUGCCAGACUUUGUCCUGGUGGAGUAUGACUGGUUUAAAAGAACACCACAUGGUUUCUUUUUCUAUCCAAACACCUCACAUCUUCAAAUAUCAUAGCUUUAGAUGAAGGUAGAAGGAUUAUGUUGUUUAUGUCGCAGCAAGGGGACCAAGUUUGACUUGAAAAUCUGCCAUAUUCUUCCUUGGAGGGUGCUGCAGCACCCACUCUGGGAACCACUGGCCUAGACGUUUGAGACUUUUGAGGUAGCUGGGAUUCUCUGAGAACUCUCUGAAAUCAGUGGGCAGGUUGAGCUCCAGCACCAAGAGCCAAGCCCUGAGGCUACAUUCACCUGGGGGGGAGUUAAUGUCAUCACUCCCCACUCCCUGCUGUUCUGAGCUUAAUGUUUCUUUGUUGGGAAUGAUUAGGUCAGAUCCCUG